rnacentral:SRP_RNA from 1 species
GGGCGGGCCCGGCGCGGCGGAGCCUUUUGAACCCCGCCAGGGUCGAAAGACAGCAACGGUAAGGAAGCGUUUCCGGGUGCCGCCGGUCGCCUGCCCGGA